GAGUGAAUGAAUGAAUGAAUGACGAAUGAAUUUACAGGCAGGGCGCAGACCUGGCCUCCACCUGUGCACUGCUGGGGCGCUCAGUGUGCAGAGGUCGCGUGGGGGACCCGUGGGUGGCUCCUCCACUCGCGGCGGGCGGGGGCCGGGCCCGGCUGGACGCCCCCACCGCAGUGUCCCAGCCGUCCACCAGAGGGAGUGCCUUGCCCAGCCGGUCAGGGCCCCUCGUGCAGGCUAGCUGAGGCGGGCGAUGCUUCCUCUCAGGGCCUGGCGCUUCCUCCCCCGGCGCAAGGAGCUCGCCCGCCCGCCCACCAGCCACGACCCGCUGCCCUCCACCCUCCACCCUCGGGGUGCCCUGCCGGUCCUGCGCGGGAUGGCGGCGCCCGCCCCUGCCCGUGCACGCCGCUGCCUCGGCCCGAUAGCGCGCCGGGGCGGCCUCCCGGUGGCGCUGGGCGUAGAGCCCGCCACAUUGUCCCCUCCCGGUGUCGUCCCCGCCCGCGCUCCUCGGCCGGGUCUGGACCCUUUGUGCCACCGGGUAUCGCGCCACCCCCUCCCCCGCCGCCGCCGCAGGGUCCGUCCCGCAGAACGUGAGUGCCUGGCAGCGGGCGGGACGACCGUAGUAGGGGAGGCCGGCGCCCCACUCGUGGCCGCCACACGUCCACUCCCAUCCCCCAACCGAGCCCGCGUCGCGGCUUCGACUUCACCGGGCGUCACCGUGACACCCUGCGGGGACUCGUUUCAGGAGACACCAGGCCUAAACCAAGAGACUUCUGACCCUGGGAUGAUCUCCCCGUUUGGGAUGAGUGUGACCCAACACGGCACAGGAAAAAGAAAAUGGUGCAAGUAACGUAGGAUUUGCUUUAACCUACUUAGAAAACUCCAGCAGUUUUUAUCAACCACAAUGACAACUCUACAAAGGCACUGGAGGACUUGUCACUGAAGCACAGUAUGAGAAGGACUUGGCAGCAGCUGGCGUACUGAGGAAGACCACAUCCUUGCCGUGCAGCUCAGUUCCAGCACACUGGGGACACUGCAGGGCCAUCUCCAGAAAUGCAAGACAGGAGAAAAACUGCAACCUCAGUGCUGCAACCUGCACCGGCAGCUCUUCCUGAACAGCCAAGGCUCCUUCCUUCCAGGAUGCCAAUGUCAUCUUGUAAACGUCAAAGCCUCUGAGCUGACCCUGGGGAGCACACCCCUGCCAGAGACCCACGACUCUGAUGGCUGAUGGGGAACAAUGCACAGCACCUCUGGAGCAGGCCUUGUGGAAAUGCAUGGGCCUGCUUCUGUCUGGUGGGGUCAGAUGAUUGUUAGGUCCUGUGUCCUCUGCUACAUCAAGCUAUGAAUGCCUCUUCCACCUGUUCCCACUACUCUGAUCCACCCAGGUGAGUCCUCAUCAUCAAGAGUGCAAACCUAUCAAUGGUGUAAACACUGUGCUGUUCUGGAACGGGUCAAUUCCAUGGUUAAGUUUUCGGUACAUUCGUCACCGUCCCAUUGUUCCAGGCCCCACAGAGGAGAGCCUACCUCACUCAUAGGUCAUGUGGAACAAUGCCUCUAGGAGCUGUGCAGUCCCCUGCAUUACUGUCAGCACUGCACAGUGCAAGGGAUGGCAGCGUGUUUCACCACUAGGAAGACAAGGACAGAGACCUAUCCUGCACCACCAAGGCCUGUGUCUGUUAAUACAACAUGUGAAUGUGUCAAAACACACCAUCCUGUGGGCUGAGUAUUUCCACCUGCCUGUGUCUACUUCUGUUUGGGGUGAAGGCAACAAAGAGCAUCAACGGAAGCAUGGAAUCUCUUCUCCCACGGCUCUCUGAAAUGUCAGUUGCUGAUGUCCCAGCUGUCAAGAUGCUCAAGGCUACAGACUGACCUUGCAAGUCAACAACUGAUUAAAACUGUCAUUUUUAUGGCUUGCUUCAGACAUGCAAUAUUAUCAGAACUAAUUAGGGGGCCUUGACUGCAGUGUGUGAAAGCUGAAUGAAUGUUCAUGAGUCCUAAGUCAUUAACAGCCCCAAA
rnacentral:lncRNA from 1 species